rnacentral:rRNA from 2 species
GAUGAACGUUGGCGGUGUGCCUAAUACAUGCAAGUCGAACGGUGAUAUUUUUGUAGCAAUACGAAUUUAUCAUAGUGGCGAACGGGUGAGUAACGCGUUGGUGAUCUGCCUCGAAGUGUGGAAUAACGUCCCGAAAGGAACGCUAAUACCGCAUGUGCUCUCGAUUUUUAGAGAGUUGAGAGUAAAGGAUUUAUUCGCUUCGAGAGGAGCCUGCGUCCCAUCAGCUAGUUGGUAGGGUAAUAGCCUACCAAGGCAAUGACGGGUAGGGGACCUGAGAGGGUGGCCCCCCACAAUGGAACUGAAACACGGUCCAUACACCUACGGGUGGCAGCAGUAGGGAAUAUUAGAAAUGGACGAAAGUCUGAUCUAGCGACACCGCGUGUGCGAUGAAGGCCUUCGGGUUGUAAAGCACUUUUUGGAAGGAAUAGGAAGGAAGGUACUUCCAGAAUAAGUCUCGGCUAACUACGUGCCAGCAGCCGCGGUAACACGUAGGAGGCAAACGUUAUCCGGAUUUACUGGGCGUAAAGCGCGUGUAGGUGGUUCUGUAAGUAGGGCGUGAAAGCUCCCGGCUCAACUGGGAGAGGCCGUUCUAAACUGCAGAGCUAGAGGAUGGUAGAGGGAGGUGGAAUUCCAGGUGUAGCGGUGGAAUGCGCAGAUAUCUGGAGGAACACCAGUGGCGAAGGCGGCCUCCUGGACCAUUCCUGACACUCAGACGCGAAAGCUAGGGUAGCAAACG